GUCGCGGUAGCUCAGUUGGUAGAGCACCUGUACGUGGUGAGGCGCCUGGCAAUAACUGCCAGGAGCCGCAGGAUCGAGGCCUGCCCGGGAUU
rnacentral:tRNA from 1 species